CAUACAGUCCAGUCAAAAGUUGAUCAUCAAGUUUACUACUACUGAGAGCACACGAAGUAUAUAUGGAAAGAAUUGAUAAUAACAGGUCUCUUGAAUCUGUUUGGAUCGUGGAUUGCAACAAUCUUAAAUCCAUUCCUGAGGGCCUACACACCCUUGGCAAUCUUAGCCAUAUUCGUAUACGAGAUUGCAGAAGUCUUGUUUCGUUCACAAAAGAUGGGCUUCCUAACACUGAUUUAAAAGUUCAUACCAGUUUUUGUGAGAAGCUACAAAUGCUACCUUAUUGCUUGAACAACCUCAAAUCUCUUCAACACUUAGCCUUACGCCACUGUCCGAGCAUUUCCUCCUUUCCUCGUGAAGAUUUUCCCACCAACCUAAAUUCACUUUUAAUUGAUGAGCCCAAUAUCUACAAGUCACUGACUUCGUGGGGCUUACACAAACUCACCUCUCUUAGAGAACUCACAAUCCGUAGAUCCCCGGAUGCAGUGUCUUUCCCAGAAGUGGAGAUGGGAAUGAUUUUACUUAGCUCUCUAAUUGAUCUCUCACUUGAAAUAUUCCCGAAAUUGAAACACCUAUCUUCUAAAGGCUUCCAAAAUCUCACAUCUCUUGAAUCAUUGACAUUCAAGAAUUGCCCUAAUCUCGCAUCUUUUGCAAAACUUCCAUCAUCAGUUUUGCAACUACAUAUUUAUGAAUGUCCUUUGCUGAAAGAACAGUGCAAAUGGAAUGAAGGAUCAGAGCAGUUCAGGAUAGCCCACAUCCCUUGUGUUUAUAUCGAUGACAAAUUCAUCUAUGAUCCAGAGGAGGGAAGAAUCAAUCCCAUUUGAUCCCAAAACAAAGAAGAGGUGUUAUUUAGACGAUCAAUCGCUAUCCAUAUGCUCUUUUCAGGAUGCAGCUCAAAAUUCUCAACUCCCAGGUGCGGCGGUCAGCUACUCAGCUUUACCAUGUGAUCUGUUAAAACUUAAACUCAGGGCUUAUAAAUAUAUAAUUCAGUGAGAUUGAAGUGGAUUAUUUGAAACGUCAAGUACAUCUCCCUAUCAGACUGAGAUUCAAAGACGUGCUGUAUUUUGGUUUAAACAAAAGUUGAAAAUGAAGUACUCUUCUCAAAUCUUAAAUUUAAUUGCAUCAUCACCCUCCUUGAUUCUUUGAACUGAAUUUAACUUCAUCGUCACCCACUGCAGUGGGUGGAAGUAGCUUUGUUACCUAUUCAAUCAGGUACUACAGAUUUUUUGGUACAUCACAUUCAUGCAUCAAUGAUUCAAGUGACUGUAGGUAUUAAAGUUUCUUUAGAUUCAUGCAAUAUUUGGGUUUCCGUCCAGAUGAUCAAUUCAUGUUAUUGAUGAGUGGACUAAAAAGAAGCUUGGAUAGCAAAGUUAUGAUAUUUACAUAUCUUUUAUCGCAAUUCUAUUUUUUUUGUCUCUAGUUUAUGGAAUCAGACUAUGAAAGUUAUUGGGAACAAAAAAUUCAACAUAACUUUUGCAU